GACGAACGCUGGCGGCGUGCUUAACACAUGCAAGUCGAGCGGAGCGGCGAACGGGUGAGUAACGCGUGAGUAACUGCCCCCCUCUCUGGGAUAACAGUUGGAAACGGCUGCUAAUACCGGAUAGUGGGGGAUGACUCGCGUCCUAUCAGCUUGUUGGUGGGGUAGUGGCCUACCAAGGCGACGACGGGUAGCCGGCCUGAGAGGGUGACCGGCCACAUUGGGCUGAGAUACGGCCCAAACUCCGACGGGAGGCAGCAGUGGGGAAUAUUGCACAAUGGGGGAAACCCUGAUGCAGCAACGCGCGGGCGGGAUGACGGCCUUCGGGUUGUAAAGCUCUGUUGUUAAGGGAGAAUGGAAAGUUCAUGCUGUGACGGUACUUAACCAGAAAGGGACGGCUAACUACGUGCCAGCAGCCGCGGUAAUUC
rnacentral:rRNA from 1 species